rnacentral:rRNA from 1 species
UACGUAGGGUGCGAGCGUUGUCCGGAAUUAUUGGGCGUAAAGAGCUUGUAGGCGGUUUGUCGCGUCUGCCGUGAAAAUUCGAGGCCCAACCUCGAACUUGCGGUGGGUACGGGCAGGACUAGAGUGUGGUAGGGGGAGACUGGAAUUCCUGGUGUAGCGGUGAAAUGCGCAGAUAUCAGGAGGAACACCGGUGGCGAAGGCGGGGUCUCUGGGGCCGAUACUGACGCUGAGGAGCGAAAGCGUGGGGAGCGAACAGG